rnacentral:lncRNA from 1 species
ACUCGAAGUUGUAGUGCUUGUCGACGGCCUCGGCGACGUCCCAGGUGCAGCUCAUGCCCUUGGGGAAGACGACCAGGUCCCCCGCGGCGAUCUCCACGAACUCCUCCCCGUGGCCCUCCGGGUACACCUUCACCUUCCCCUGCAGCAGGUAGCACGUCUCCUUGGCCGAGUAGGUCCACGGGAACUUGCUCUUCUCGCACCCCCACCUGAUCGAUUCGUGCAUUCACCAGCAGGUCGCCGUCAGCAAGGGGAACGAGCCCAGUGGAGGCGGGGGGGACGGCGGGGAGAUCGGAGAUUGGGAUGCCCGGGAGGGCGGGUAGCUUACUUGGGCCACUGGCGGACGCCGAGCUCGGAGAGGCGGGACUCGGGCGGGUUGCGCUCCACCCUGAUGCCCAGCUUCUCCGUCGCCAUCGUCUCCGCCGACGCCCUCACCGCCGCGAAUCGCCGCCUGGCUGCGCUGGGGGAAGAAGAGGAGUA